UCGUUUUAGCAUUUUACAACUAGAUAAGGGUGUAGAAAGUAAUUUUUGUAGCAAGGUACUUUCCAUGUGACCCAACUCUAGAUUUUAGGAAUGAAUAUUUUUGACAUAAUUUUGUAUAUUCUGAAUGUAAACCGUAAGGAAAAACGCUUAAAAUGUUUUUUAUUUUUUGUCUAUUGAAUAAGGUAAAAGAGGAGAACAUAACUCAAGAACUCAUGCAAUUACACCGAUUUAAUACAUCUCCAAAAUUCUAGACUAGAUAUCGUCAAAACAUUUAUAAGGAGCAGUACUGCGUGGCGCAUAGGUGUACUGAGAUGAUGAUGAAAAUAACAUGAGAUUAUAAGAAGCUUCUGUACAACGGAUACCUCCAAUUAAAGGUCAAUUGUACACAGAAGUGUCCGUUAUUAGAGGCUCCGUCAUAAAUUGUUUACAUACCAUACAACUGUGCGUUAAGUGAGAACCAGCCUUUUCUGAUAGCUAAAAAAUUCAAAUUUUUUUAAUGCUUCAAAGAAAUAACUUCAUUCCUUAAAAAUUUUGUUGUGGUUUGUCAGCUUUAAAAAUUUAAAGAAUAAGCCUUGUUGAAAUUAUUAUAAUGACCCAUGUUCCAUGUUUUGAACAGAUAAUCGUUGGACUUAUAUGGUUAUUGGCUUUCGCCGUGGGAAACUCAACUUUAACACAGUUCAUGUAUUGUCCUUCUAGCUGACGCAUUCUUAUUCUCAGAUUAAGAAAAGACUUUCGAAAUUUCCCACAUGCUUUCUCGAUGUUAUCACGAUCCAUUCUUUCUAAAAGUGCAAGGCGGUACAGCAUGCUCCAUCAUGACAGGUUGUAUCUCCUAUCAAGAUAAACAUUGCCAAAGAAUACUUAAAUAACCGUACAAAGCAUUUACACGAAGAAUACCUAAUUUAAUUAAGAGCUUAUUAAUAGGUGCGGUAUCAUAGAAUUGAUAGCGAAAUAAGGAUAUUAAACAUAAAAGAUCACUCGACAGAAUGCUAGCUUGACAGAACAAGAAACUUGAUAACCAUUCUUAACAUUCGCGUCGUAUCCGUAAACAUACAGGGCAUUCCCUGUUUUCACAUCAACAUAGUGAUAUGUGACUUCUAUUGACUACACAUAAUCUUCUUUUGCUCAUUUAAAUCCUUUUUUGUUAUAAAAACAACAGAUGAUUGAGGAGAAUUUCUUGAUUCUUAAUACGUUUUACCGACGAGCGAACUGAUUCAUAAAACACACACGUUUGUUGGAUUUGGUUGCUUUAUUUAUCAAGAAAGUUAAAAUAUUGAUUUGAGUGUUAGAAGUGUACAAAUAAAAAGGAAGAAACCCUCGUUAACUUGGAACGAUUUGCAUGUCCCAAGCCUACAUCAAACUUUCAAAGGCGAUGGCACGUAUGUUGUAAGCCAAAAGACUCCAAACUUGGCUUUCAAACAUUAAUUGAUGAGCUGUUGACAGAUAUAGAGAAUCUUAAAAAACCACCACAUAGUAAAAGAAGAACCAGUAAACUAAAAAGGUUUAAACAUAGUUAAUGUUAACAUGAUCUUAUACAAGAAAUAGAUGUUAAAACAAAACGUCCGUGUUGGGGAAUUGUAAAGAAGGACAUUAAAGUUAAUAUAUAUACAUACAUACACUGGGUUUUAUAAAAGCUAUAAGGUAGCUUAAUGAAGAAAAAGUAUUUCAGACGAUUUUUUCGAACUAGUAGGCGAAGCUAGUUCUCAUACAAUGAGAACUCCGAUUUUUUGUUGGAUAUAGUACAAGUUCCAAGGAGCGAAUCAAUCGAAAAGUUUGGUCUACAAUUUUUUAGUUAAGUUUUAGUUAUGUGUUUGUAUUUUUUAUUUAAUACAUGUUUACUUGUUUUUGUGAGAAAUAUAGUAUUUUAUAUUACUUACUCUGUUUGUUAUCACAGCAGGAAAUGUUUGAGAAGCAGCUAGUAAGUUAAAUAUUUGGCAAUCGUUCGGCAUAAACGACGUUUGUCAACUUCUUUACCAUUGACAGUGUUUACACAAAUACAAGGUAAAAUUGGAAUGAAAACAAAGAAUAAAGGUUCAAAACGACUUCCUGUAUAGUUAAUAUCUUCAAUCGUUUGUCAAUAUUUAACUUAUAUUGUACCAGUCGUAAGACAAAGAAUCUCGAGUUCAAAGGUUAUUAAAGCUGUGUGUUCCACAGUCUUUUGUAGUGUCACAGUCAAAGCUUUUUUUAUUUAUGUUCCAAUAAGUCUUAUCUUGAGCCCUGUGAAUUAACUGUUAUUUGAGGACACCUAAGUUGUAUCACAGAUACGUCUCUGUUUAUUUUUUGUUUGUUUAUUUAUUUUAUUUGUUAUUUUCAGCUUGACUUUAUUUUAGUCCUUGUUUGUUUUUGUUGACUCGUUCUGCUAGUUUGAAAGUUCCUUCUAUGUUGAAACAGAUAAGUAACUGUACAUAAAUGAAGUACAUUUAUAAUUAAAAUUAUUUUAACGACGAAAAAAUAUCAUAUCUAUUA